UGCAGAUUUGAUUUGUCAGCUCGCGUUUCAUUGGUAGACUCAAUGUGGGUCAUGCAAAAACGUCCGCGCUUCCCCAGUUGGACUGUAGCGUCGUUUUCAAGCGGGAUCGGUCCCCGAUAGCUACAGGCGAAAGGUACUGUAACAAAGGAAAAGUGAACACAGCUCACAGUCAGUUUCAUAAUGGCAGCUACAAAAGGAAAGGGCAAAAAGGCCAAUGCUGCUGCAGCUGCUGCACCUGCAGCAGAGACACCUGCUGGGGAUGCAGAAGAUACCCCCAAGACAGAGGAGCCCAAGAAAGGUUCUCCAAAGAAGAGAGCAGGAGGAGUGAAGAAGGCCACUAAAAAAGGUGCCAAGAAAGGUGCAAAGAAGGCAGCAGCCAAGAAGAAGUGAGGCCAAGUUACAGACAGUCGUUUUUUUAAUGUUAUCAUCAAGGUUUUUUUUUGUUUUUUUUUUUUAGUAUCACUUGGACAAAUUUAGAUCCUGGGAAAUAACCAUAUUGUGUGUUCCAAUGCACCAUCUCAUUUUAUGGUUUCAUUUCAACAUGGUUGAUACCAUCAUAAUUUAUGCAUCUUGUUUUCACCCUUUCUUUCCUGUUUAUUUUUUAACUGUUUUCCUCUCUUGUCUGAAGGGAAAAAUACUCCAAAUUGAGAGUUAGUCAGGAUGUUACUGUCACUGUAGAAAGUCUGUUAUAUACAUUUCAUCAUUAAAGAAUAUCUCGGGGACGUU